UCCCCUGUGGCACAAUUGGUCAGCGCGUAAGUGUCUCCAAAAAUUCAGUCGACUGUUAAUUUCUCAAACUAACGGUAAAAAUUAGGUCAGACUGUUAAGACAUUUCAUCUGGAGGUUCGUGGUUCGAGACCACGCGGGGGAG